UGCUGAGACGCGGACGGGCAGUGGGAGAGAUUUUUGGCUACAUUGGCAUCAUUUGCCCUCAGGGUCACAACUGCUCCAUUGUGUAGGAGACGCUGGACAUGAGACUCCAUAGAGCGCCCCCUCUGUUACCUCAACAUAUAAACCCAUGUAUUCCAUGGACUGAAAGGACAUCUGGGAAUAGUAAGCCAUGCAUAGAAAGGAGUUGAUUCUUCUGUAGAUCCCUCAGUUCCGGGGACGCCUUAAACAAGCUGUGUAAGCUGACUGUAUGGCAGAGCUUGUGCCAGUGCUGUAAAGUAGAAAUUUCUAACCUCGCCCAAAAGUCUGCCAAAGAUAUACGUACAUUUCUGGCAAAAUUUGACACUUCAUACUGCCGGAAUCCAGCUUGUCGUAGAAUGCACCUGGCAUCCUCAUACAUCUGGGCAGUAAGUUCUUGAUCAGGAAAAUUUCCUGACACGUGUAAGUGGUUUAUGGGGCCGUCCCUGGGUUUUCCAAAAAAGAGCUGUCUGUAUAUAUAAGAGGAACCAAGAGCAAGAAUUCCAAUGAGAUAUACAAUGAAGCGCCAGAAAGCGACAGUGCUUCAGAACAGGGCAGAUUGCCUCCAUCCUGUGAUUUCCAGGCUCAGGAGCUACCUCCAAAUUGGAGAACCCAUUAUUAGGAGUGCAGAUGGUCACAUUUUUGUUCCAUCUACUUCCAUGGGUAGACCUGCCAGGUGUUGACACUAGGGUUUUGAAGACUAAGAAAAUAAACCAUACAUUUCGGUGAUCUCUUGGAGCCCAAGUGUGGAUAACGAAGCCAGGACAGUGGUUCAGUGUGUGGUGCCCACCUCAUGCUUAGCCUUCAUGGUUGGGAAUGUGUUAUCCUUACACUCCCGUGAAAAUAAACAGGACUAUUUACCAGA